rnacentral:misc_RNA from 1 species
CAAGGGAUGCAAUGGAACUGAAAGACAAACAUGUAAUUCGAAAUAUAGAUUUUAGAGAAGGUACACUUGGCAAAUCUCAGGACGUUAUCAAAAAAAUUGAUAAGGACAAAGUAAAGGCUGCGCUUGAGAAACGAAGGAAGUCUCUUGGCAGCAUGACCCAGAAAAAAGAAUUGAUGGAUGAGGAUGAUCUCAUUGAAAGGGAGUUGGAAGCUGGUGUUGAGAUGGCUGUUGGCAGUGAGAAAAACAAGCGAGAACAGAGGCAAAGUUGGAAUAAGUCAUCGAAUAAACAAGAAUAUGAGGAUUCAUAUCAAGACAAACAUCGAGAGGACGAUAAAGACGAGCAUCCUCAACGAACGCGACAGUCAUUAUAUAAUCUAGAUUCUAGCAACAUAGAAGAAGGGGAGUUUGCAAAUGCUAAUGAAGUAGGUUAUGGGUAUCAAGAUUCCCCAAAGUCAAACAGUCGUAAGAGAGGCAGGGAACUCACAGGAUAAAACUCUGAAGGGAAAGCGAAGUUG